rnacentral:rRNA from 1 species
GGGUUGUGAGGUUAAGCGACUAAGCGUACACGGUGGAUGCCCUGGCAGUCAGAGGCGAUGAAGGACGUGCUAAUCUGCGAUAAGCGUCGGUAAGGUGAUAUGAACCGUUAUAACCGGCGAUUUCCGAAUGGGGAAACCCAGUGUGUUUCGACACACUAUCAUUAACUGAAUCCAUAGGUUAAUGAGGCGAACCGGGGGAACUGAAACAUCUAAGUACCCCGAGGAAAAGAAAUCAACCGAGAUUCCCCCAGUAGCGGCGAGCGAACGGGGAGCAGCCCAGAGCCUGAAUCAGUGUGUGUGUUAGUGGAAGCGUCUGGAAAGGCGCGCGAUACAGGGUGACAGCCCCGUACACAAAAAUGCACAUGCUGUGAGCUCGAUGAGUAGGGCGGGACACGUGGUAUCCUGUCUGAAUAUGGGGGGACCAUCCUCCAAGGCUAAAUACUCCUGACUGACCGAUAGUGAACCAGUACCGUGAGGGAAAGGCGAAAAGAACCCCGGCGAGGGGAGUGAAAAAGAACCUGAAACCGUGUACGUACAAGCAGUGGGAGCACGCUUAGGCGUGUGACUGCGUACCUUUUGUAUAAUGGGUCAGCGACUUAUAUUCUGUAGCAAGGUUAACCGAAUAGGGGAGCCGAAGGGAAACCGAGUCUUAACUGGGCGUUAAGUUGCAGGGUAUAGACCCGAAACCCGGUGAUCUAGCCAUGGGCAGGUUGAAGGUUGGGUAACACUAACUGGAGGACCGAACCGACUAAUGUUGAAAAAUUAGCGGAUGACUUGUGGCUGGGGGUGAAAGGCCAAUCAAACCGGGAGAUAGCUGGUUCUCCCCGAAAGCUAUUUAGGUAGCGCCUCGUGAAUUCAUCUCCGGGGGUAGAGCACUGUUUCGGCAAGGGGGUCAUCCCGACUUACCAACCCGAUGCAAACUGCGAAUACCGGAGAAUGUUAUCACGGGAGACACACGGCGGGUGCUAACGUCCGUCGUGAAGAGGGAAACAACCCAGACCGCCAGCUAAGGUCCCAAAGUCAUGGUUAAGUGGGAAACGAUGUGGGAAGGCCCAGACAGCCAGGAUGUUGGCUUAGAAGCAGCCAUCAUUUAAAGAAAGCGUAAUAGCUCACUGGUCGAGUCGGCCUGCGCGGAAGAUGUAACGGGGCUAAACCAUGCACCGAAGCUGCGGCAGCGACACUAUGUGUUGUUGGGUAGGGGAGCGUUCUGUAAGCCUGCGAAGGUGUGCUGUGAGGCAUGCUGGAGGUAUCAGAAGUGCGAAUGCUGACAUAAGUAACGAUAAAGCGGGUGAAAAGCCCGCUCGCCGGAAGACC